AUUGAACGCUGGCGGCAGGCCUAACACAUGCAAGUCGAACGAGUGGCGGACGGGUGAGUAAUGUCUGGGAAACUGCCUGAUGGAGGGGGAUAACUACUGGAAACGGUAGCUAAUACCGCAUACCAUCGGAUGUGCCCAGAUGGGAUUAGCUAUUAGGGGGGGUAAAGGCUCACCUAGGCGACGAUCCCUAGCUGGUCUGAGCGGAUGACGAGCCACACUGGAACUGAUACACGGUCCAUACUCCUACGGUAGGCAGCAGUGGGGAAUAGUGCACAAUGGGAGCAAGCCUGAUGCAGCCAUGCCGCGUGUAUGAAGAAGUCCUGCGGGUUGUAAAGUACUUUCAGCGGUGAGGCGUUACCCGCAGAAGAAGCACCGGCUAACUCCGUGCCAGCAGCCGCGGUAAUUC
rnacentral:rRNA from 1 species